GAUGAACGCUAGCGGCAGGCCUAACACAUGCAAGUCGAGGGGUAGCAGGAUUAAGCUUGCUUAAUUGCUGACGACCGGCGCACGGGUGCGUAACGCGUAUGCAACCUACCUUAUACUGGGGUAUAGCCCGGAGAAAUUCGGAUUAAUCCCCCAUAGUACUAAUGAACCGCAUGGUUUAUUAGUUAAAGCAUUGCGGGAUAAGAGGGGCAUGGGUCCUAUUAGCUAGAUGGUGAGGUAACGGCUCACCAUGGCUACGAUAGGUAGGGGGCCUGAGAGGGUGGUCCCCCACACUGGUACUGAGACACGGACCAGACUCCUACGGGAGGCAGCAGUGAGGAAUAUUGGUCAAUGGGCGCAAGCCUGAACCAGCCAUGCCGCGUGCAGGAAGAAUGCCCUAUGGGUUGUAAACUGCUUUUAUUUGGGAAUAAACCUCUUUACGUGUAGAGAGCUGAAGGUACCAAAUGAAUAAGCACCGGCUAACUCCGUGCCAGCCGCCGCCGUAA
rnacentral:rRNA from 1 species